rnacentral:rRNA from 1 species
GUGUCAGCCGCCGCGGUAAUACGUAGGUGGCAAGCGUUGUCCGGAAUUAUUGGGCAUAAAGGGCUCGCAGGCGGUUUCUUAAGUCUGAUGUGAAAGCCCCCGGCUCAACCGGGGAGGGUCAUUGGAAACUGGGGAACUUGAGUGCAGAAGAGGAGAGUGGAAUUCCACGUGUAGCGGUGAAAUGCGUAGAGAUGUGGAGGAACACCAGUGGCGAAGGCGACUCUCUGGUCUGUAACUGACGCUGAGGAGCGAAAGCGUGGGGAGCGAACAUG